rnacentral:lncRNA from 1 species
GCUUUAGUGAUACGGUGUCAAAUUCAAUUUAGUAUAAAAUUCCACAUCCUUUCAAAUGGRGGAAACCAUUUUAAUUUGUAUGAUCAGCAGCUGAACUUUCCCUUUCAUCUUUUCAGUGACAGUACAACUAAACAGGGCUGGGAACUUCCUACACAAAGUCCAGCCUGAAAGCCAAAGUCAUCCUGAAAGCCUGGUGUUUUAUGGGAGUYGCUUCCAUAAACAUUUGUAAUCUGGUGCAACUUUAACAUUGUUUUUGGUAUCAGAAACAAAAAUGGAGAGAAAAGACAAUGUGCUUAAUUGCAGAUAAAAUCAAGAGAAGUUGUUGCUCAGAGCCGCACUAAGCACUCAAGGAACUUCAGUGGCACCAGAUGCUCUCCGUGCACUGUUGGUAGCAUUAGUGCCACUUGCGAAGGCUUCCCCUGCUCUGGCAAAGGCAACAGCUGUGCCAACACCUUUCUGCUGUGAGUGUCCCUCACGCUGGGAAGCUGCCUCUCCUCUUGCCGUUGUGCUGGGAAGGGCGGGUGACCGGCUCGCUGACGUGUACAUGCGGGUGCCAAGGACAAGGCUAAGAGUGUUUCAGCUCGGGCGAUGAAUGAAACUGGCCCAGUUAGAUCCACGUGGGGAUGGAUUUUGCCCGUAUCAUGCAGGUCUUAAACCGCUCCGCUAAGGCUUAGCUGCUACCACAGCAUGGACCCUGGCCCAGGAGGAGAAGUGUGACGUGAAGGUGACGGCCACAGAGCACGAGGUAUGGAGGUCCACCUCUGCAUGUCUAAGUAUCUGUGCAACC